ensembl:lncRNA
GCGGCGCGAAGUAACGCUUAGCUUUCCCUAGACGCUAGCUAGUUACCAAGCUCCCUACUACGCUUCGGACUUACAUGGUUAAGGGCUCUAGCCUCGUUUUCUAUUUACGAUUCUCGGAUCUCGUCUUGGAUUAUUCCUUUCGCUUCGGACUGAGUGCUUGGCGCUUCACGCCUCCCUCGCCUUCUUGUCACUGCUCGGCCCGCGCUUGCCUCCCAUCUGGAAAAAGAAGUUUCGGAAAAACCCAAACUAGCAAGACGGAGUACAUUUUACACCAGGUUUACCUCAGGAGUCAGCUUGAGGACACUGACAGGAAACCCCGUGAAAAUUAAACCCCGCAAAAAUAUAUUUUUUUCUACUUUAAUA